GAUGAAGAACGCAGCGAAAUGCGAUAAGUAAUGUGAAUUGCAGAUUUCAGUGAAUCAUCGAAUCUUUGAACGCACAUUGCGCCCGCCAGUAUUCUGGCGGGCAUGCCUGUUCGAGCGUCAUUACAACCCUCAGGCCCCCGGGCCUGGCGUUGGGGAUCGGCGGAGCCCCCCGUGGGCACACGCCGUCCCCCAAAUGCAGUGGCGGUCCCGCCGCAGCUUCCAUCGCGUAGUAGCUAACACCUCGCGACUGGAGAGCGGCGCGGCCACGCCGUAAAACACCCAACUCUUCUGAAGUUGACCUCGAAUCAGGUAGGAAUACCCGCUGAACUUAAGCAUAUCAAUAAGCGGAGGA
rnacentral:misc_RNA from 1 species